CCACGGCCUUUGAAAUCCGUCUUGGCAAGCGGAUUUUUCCGGAAACUGGAUAUAUUUAGCAGACGUUUUAACGAAAACUGUAUGUUUCAAGCAUGAAUGUACAAAACAUUCGUUUGUGGGACGAUUUUUGCUGACUUCGUUAAAAUAACGUUGGAAGGAAUUGUGUCCGUUGGUCUCCGUGAUGAACUACUUCAUGAUCGUUCGACCGAUCAGGCGUCACCGAGUCCCUUUGCUACAGGUUUAGUUCACGGGUAUGCGGGAAGAUGUUAUUACAUGUCCCAGGACAACGUACUGUUCCGUGAUACAUUCGCUUUCAUCUCGAUGUGACACGGGAUCCUUCUCAGGCUGCUGUAUACGUGGAACAAGACAACGUUGUGAAGGCACCGAGAUCUGUCGCACAACGUACGUAAACUACUACGCUGAAAAACUACUGAAGUCAACAGGCGUUUACCCAUGAUAACUCCAGUUUUUUUUAAACAAAGCACAAUUAUUCAGGUCAUGGGAGAAAUAAAUUAACAAAUUGGAA